rnacentral:rRNA from 1 species
CCUACGGGUGGCUGCAGUGGGGAAUAUUGGGCAAUGGGCGCAAGCCUGACCCAGCAACGCCGCGUGAAGGAAGAAGGCUUUCGGGUUGUAAACUUCUUUUAAGAGGGAAGAGUAGAAGACGGUACCUCUUGAAUAAGCUACGGCUAACUACGUGCCAGCAGCCGCGGUAAUACGUAGGUGGCAAGCGUUGUCCGGAUUUAUUGGGUUUAAAGGGUGCGCAGGCGGUUUGUUAGGGCAGUGGUCAAGGCCCGGGGCCAAACCGGGACCCGCCGUUGAAACUGGCAGUCUCGCGUUGGAGAGAGGUAUGCGGAAUGCGUGGUGUAGCGGUGAAAUGCAUAGAUAUCGGGAAGAACUCCGAUUGCGAAGGCA